GAACAUCGACACUCUGUAAGACUGGGUGCGGGGGGCGUGCCGCUCGCACGCGUUCGGGAGAAGCCGGUCCACCUGAGCGGGCAGCGCGCGCGCCUCAAGGGCGCAUGCGCGCAACGGCGCGCGGACCGCGCGCGGCCUGCCGCGCCCUUUCUAGCUUUUCCCCAGGGCACCGAAACAAUUUUGUGGACAACUUAAAUAAGCCAAUGCGCUUAGCAGAUAUAAUGCAGCGUGACGUUAAAUCUAAAAUGCAUUUCGGCUUGUUUUGAAAGCGUCGACGUGCGCUCGUAAACACAAUCGAACGACUUAAGAAAGUAUAAAAAAAAGUGUUGAGAGGAAGGAGUCUCCGCGUCUGUCCCAGCGUUUCCACCUGACAGAAAGAAGCGCGUGUUCCCGUCCCCGUCCCCCCUCGCCUCGCUCAGGUUUGCCAGAACCGCUGGGAUGCGUCUUCAGUUCUGCAAGCGCGUCGGGCAGUUUCCCCUCUGCACCAGGGAAGACCUUCGUCACAUUGGUCCAGGCCUCCAGCAACGAUAGACACGUAUGCCUGCUGAUGUCUUCCACGUCCACAAUUCAUCAUACCUUCAUGAGCACUAUGUGGGACGACGGAAGGACGGCUCUAGGAAUAUUUCUGUACGCGAUCCGUCUGUCGCUGGUUGAGCCUUUCCUCUCUGUGCCCGGCUUCGAGGUCCGCAUGCCCCCCACCCUGCAACUUUGUGCAUUUUACGGGCUGUGUGCUGCGGUGCACUGACCUCCCACUCACCCCGGUGCCACCCAGGCGCGCCCAGCCCUGCCAAAACCCCACAGCGCCACAUCUGCUAUCCAUAAACGCUUGCCGCUCCCGCUCCCCCUGGCCCGCGCUCUGUCGGCUGCCUCUCUCUCCUCCCUCCCUUCUCCUCUUCCUCAGUCUUUUCUUCUCCACCUCUCUCGUUCACAUUAUCUGACUAGAUAAGCUCUUUCCUUAUUUUUCCUGUCGCUUCAGUGGAGCAAAAUGUUGUGCUGUACAUUCUGUCCAGCCUCCUAUCUCUUCCUCACCCCCCAGGACCCUACGUUCCCAUCCAACGGAAAAAUCUCUCACCCAUUAUAUAUGCAGCACAAGCCAGCUGAAUGCGAUGGCAGUGAACUGGGAACCACAGGACAUUCCUGAUCCAAACGGGCCCAAACCACUAUCUUUAACUCCUCCUUUUCCUUGCUGUACCAAGAUGAACCUCAAAAAUACUGUGGGAAGCAUCACUUAAAAGCUGUUUUCUCAAUAACUGCUUGUUUUGCAGCAUGCCUUUCGUAUAUCUUGCUUAACAUUUAGAUAUAUCUCCACGAUGGGCACGUCAGCUUCCCUCCUUGUAGUCAUGCCUGCUUUCUUAAGAUCUAAGCCGCUUGUCUCCUAGUGACAAGCACAUCCCUUCAGCAUGAGACUGAGAAGUUCCACUGUUAAGUGUCUCUCUCACACACUCACACAGGUUCACGUCCUCCAGGCAAAAAAAAAAAAAAAAAAAUUUCAGUGUUGCAGAGAAACUGGCCAGAUUUUAGCUUGCCCCCCUGACAAUAAAGCCAUAUUAGAGUUGUAUUAUUAUUUUAUCAUUAUUUUGACUUCUUCUCAGUAAUCAAAUUUACAAAGUGAAAAAACAUGCACACAUUGAACUUUUGAUCCCAUCCUUCUUGGCUGAAGCUUGUUCCUCAGGGCCCAAGCCUCACCUUCUCCUCACUCAGACGUCCUGGCAUGCUGCCGUGCUGCAGUCCCAGCAGAACCUCGGCAUGAAUCAUGGAGCUGCAGGCAUGCAGGAAUGCCGCUUACUGAUAAAUAUUACCAUUCAUAAAUCACUGAUUUUCAAAAAUGCCCAAAGAACUGCAUAGAGGGGGUGGUUCUCUGUGGGUCUUAAUGAGAAGGACUGCUUCAGGGGUGAGGUGUUACCAGCAGAGAGGUGUGCGUGGAGGUAAGGGGUUCAUCAAAGACUUUGAUGUGCAGUAGGAAGAAAAGCCUGCUGCUUCGGUAACAACAGAGGAUGAGAAAGG